CUUCUUUCCUACUUUUCUUGCCUCCUAACUUCUUUUCCCUCCUUUCUUUCCUUCCUGCCUUCCCUCUUAACUAGCUCUCUGCCAUCUCAGUUUUGCCUAAUUUUCUUCCUUCCUAACUAACCAAUUUGCAUCUCCACUUCCAUCCCACUGCACUGACUUCAUGCCUGCCUUUUCUAAAUUCCUAACAUCUUCCUGACAUUCCAGGCCCUGGGCUUUGGAGUCACGCUGCCUGUGUUCAAAUCCCAUUUCUAUCAUUGACUAGCUAUGUGGCUCGAUCCAGCCGCUUUACCUCCCCAAGCCUCAGUGUCCCUCCUCCUUCAAACAGGGAUGAUGAUAGUUCCUACCCCAUGACGUGGUGGGAACAAGAUCCGAUCAAGCUGGCACUUGGUAUGCACUGUCAUUGAUAUGUCAUUGGCCUGCAUUGGGCGGGCAGGCAUGUAAGUGAAUCAAUUGCAGUAGCGUGAAGACAAAUGGGACAACAGGAGCAGGUUGCAGAGAAGGGAGCAAGAAGCCUUAGGAGCCUUAGAGAGCUGCUCAGGUGUGGGAGUCACGGUCAAGGUGAUGGGGAGAGUGAUGGUGGGCAAUGACCAUGUCAAAGUUCCCGCCACAUCUCAAUACCUAAGUAUUGUGUGGAUGGCAACACCGCGAGAAACUUUACACGAUGGUACAAAGAUACAAAAUAACCUAACCCACCUUGGGUCGCUUGGGUCAUGGCCCUACAGCCUUCUUUCUGGGGCUGUGCACCAAUGCACGUGUGCAUACAGGUCUUUUUUGUCCCUUAACAAAGAUGGUAGCCCUGGCACACCUGCCAUUUUGAGACCUGCUUUUUCUGCUUGACACCGUAGUGCAUCUGUGUUCCUGUUUCGAUUUACGUAGGCUUGUAUAUCGUUUUUAUUUGUUGUUGGGUAAUUUUCCAUUUUAUACAUGUCCUGUCAUUUAUCUUAUCAAUUCCUCCCUUGAUUCACUAGUCAAAUAUGUACUGAGCACCGACUGUGUUCCAGGCCCCAUUCUAGCUGCUGGGCAUUCAAUGGUGAAUAAGAGGAGUCUAUGCCCUCAGGGCGCUGAUGUUCUCAUUUGAAACAGACGAUGAAGAGCUGCAUGAGAAGGUGGAGGGAUAAGUGUUAUGAAGUAAAAUAUAAAGCAGAAAAAGUAGAUAAGGAAUGAACGGGGCUGGGUUUGCAGUAACCAGCCAUCCUGGUUCGUCCAGGACUGUACUGGUUUUGACACUCAAAGUCCCACCUCUCGGGAAACCCUUUAAGUCCCAGACAAACCAGGACAGUCGGUCAUUGGUAAUCAGAAAACGCCUGCCUCAGAGGUCACAUUUGAGCAGACACCUCAGUGUCGUUAGUGGAAGCCAGCUAUGCAGAUAUCUCGGGGAAGAGCAUUCUAGAAAGAGGGGAAAAAGUAAACGCCACGGGCAGGAGGCCAGAGGGCACUCUGUGUCUGAGGGACAGCAGGAAAGCUGGAGAGGCUGGAGGGUCGUGAGAGGGACAGCAGUGGAGACAAGGUGGAGAUGGGGACGGAGCCAGCUCGGAUGGAAUCUCCUCGAUCAUAGUAAACACUCUGAACUUCGACCCUACAUGUGAUAGCCAGUCACUGGAGUCUUGAACAACAAGGUCACAUGAUCUGAUUUACAUAUUAAGAGUCACUCUGGCUUUUGGUGGAGAAAGAUUGUAGUGAGUAAAUCAGAGAGUCAGAAGGGAAGCUGUUGCAGUAAUCCAUGCACUGACGCUGGUGCCUGAGGCAGGGUGGUUGCAGCAGCGGUGGUGAGCAGCCGGGAUUUCUGGAUGUACUUGGAAGGGGAAGGCGAUGUCCCCAAGAGAACAGAGGUCUCUGGUCCCAUCUUAAGCUCUGCUGGGUCCUGCAUGACAUCAACAGCCACCUCGCUGCUGCCGGGAGUUUGGAGCUGGGGCCAGGCCGGCGCCAGGCACAGACACUUUGGCCCUUGUUGGGAGAACAGAGAGAGGCUCUCUUGUCCACUGCCCGUCCUCUGACUCCAACUGCUGGCUCUCUCAGUGGCCUCUCCUCAGGCUGCUGCAGCCUCUACCUGAGCACGGUUACAGAAUGAACUCUAGCCCUAGCCUGGUUGGGACCCCGAGUCCACAGGUGAGUGCGUCUUGGUUCCCACCA